rnacentral:rRNA from 1 species
UACGUAGGACCCAAGCGUUAUCCGGAGUGACUGGGCGUAAAGAGUUGCGUAGGUGGAUAGUAAAGCGAAUAGUGAAAUCUGGGGGCCCAACCUCACAGGCUAUUAUUCGAACUCACUAUCUCGAGAACAGCAGAGGUAACUGGAAUUUCUGAAGUAGGGGUAAUAUCCGUAGAUAUCAGAAGGAACACCAAUGGCGUAGGCAGGUUACUGGGCUGUUUCUGACACUGAGGCACGAAAGCGUGGGGAGCGAACCGG